UUAAGUUCAACCUCCGUCCCAAAAGUGAUACCCCAACUGUAUUUUUUAAUUUGGACUUUCCAUUGAAUAUUGGGUGGCUGUGGCCAAAUUGAUACAAACGAGAUUUCUUUCAUUUUUCCUUGUUUAAUUAAAUAAAACUUUUUAUUCUAAUCCGUCUCCAAAAUGGUUCAAGUCUCAGACCGAGUAUCUAGACCUGUCUUCUUCUUCUCUCUCUAACUCUGCUAUUUUCGAUCUUCAUCUAUUCGAUGGCCGCUCCGAGUCGGAGCCUCCGACCACAACGACCACACCCACCUCUCUUAUCCCCUAUCUAAUCAUUUCAUCUUUUGCCAGUCACUCAUCCUUGUAAAAAGCUGUUUCUCACUCUCUCUUGAAGCCUCUCAAUCUGGAUCUGGCAUAUUGCUGGACCAUCAACCAUCGUCUUCUCUUUUUCCUGCACUUUCCCUCACACUUUCAGAUUGACUUUCCAUGCCGAGUUCAGUCCCUCUGAUAUCUAUUUAGAUCGCCAUGGAUUCUUCUUUUCAAAACCAAACAAGGCUACUUUUCUACUGUCAUCGCACAGAGUCGGUAUUCAAGAUUAUGAAUUUCCUGAAGCCAAGGUGAUUCUUUUAUUUCUCCAGGAGCAAAGCUCCACUUAAUCCCCCUUGCCUUGCCGUACCACUUUCAAAAAAUAGCUCAGGUGCUGUAACUGCAUAGCUCUGGUGGCCUACAGCUCCGCCAGGUAUGGAUAUACUGGUAGUUGGGGUCAAGAAGCAUGGGGUGUGGCUUUUAGCAAAAAAUAACAUUGAUAAAUCCCUCUGGUGAAAUGUCCUAUGCUAGGUUAAGUGAAAAAACUGAAUUUGAUGCAAGGGGGAAGUUACAGUAGUACGUAAGGAGCUUAUAUUGUGUGCAUUGAUUGAAAGAGGAACCACAGACAAUGAAAGGAAGGCAUUGAAGACCACCAGCUCUCCACUAGUUAGAGUUUCCAAAGUUAGUGAUAGGUAAACAAUUUUUGUUUUGUCUAAGUGUUUUGACUUUUAGCUGUGAGAGACUGAGGAAUUUAUAAUAUACUUGUUUCUUUUCCUCUGACGUAUAUGUUGAUUAA